rnacentral:rRNA from 1 species
UACAGAGGUCUCAAGCGUUGUUCGGAUUCAUUGGGCGUAAAGGGUGUGUAGGUGGCGCGCUAAGUCGGGUGUGAAAUUUCGGAGCUUAACUCCGAAACUGCAUUCGAUACUGGCGUGCUUGAGGACUGGAGAGGAGACUGGAAUUCACGGUGUAGCAGUGAAAUGCGUAGAGAUCGUGAGGAAGACCAGUGGCGAAGGCGGGUCUCUGGACAGUUCCUGACACUGAGGCACGAAGGCCAGGGGAGCAAACGGG